rnacentral:rRNA from 1 species
GGGUUGUGAGGUUAAGCGACUAAGCGUACACGGUGGAUGCCCUGGCAGUCAGAGGCGAUGAAGGACGUGCUAAUCUGCGAAAAGCGUCGGUAAGGUGAUAUGAACCGUUAUAACCGGCGAUGUCCGAAUGGGGAAACCCAGUGCAAUUCGUUGCACUAUCGUUAACUGAAUACAUAGGUUAACGAGGCGAACCGGGGGAACUGAAACAUCUAAGUACCCCGAGGAAAAGAAAUCAACCGAGAUUCCCCCAGUAGCGGCGAGCGAACGGGGAGCAGCCCAGAGUCUGAAUCAGCUUGUGUGUUAGUGGAACGGUCUGGAAAGUCCGACGGUACAGGGUGAUAGUCCCGUACACCAAAAUGCACAGGCUGUGAACUCGAAGAGUAGGGCGGGACACGUGGUAUCCUGUCUGAAUAUGGGGGGACCAUCCUCCAAGGCUAAAUACUCCUGACUGACCGAUAGUGAACCAGUACCGUGAGGGAAAGGCGAAAAGAACCCCGGCGAGGGGAGUGAAAAAGAACCUGAAACCGUGUACGUACAAGCAGUGGGAGCACCUUCGGGUGUGACUGCGUACCUUUUGUAUAAUGGGUCAGCGACUUAUAUUCUGUAGCAAGGUUAACCGUAUAGGGGAGCCGCAGGGAAACCGAGUCUUAACUGGGCGUUAAGUUGCAGGGUAUAGACCCGAAACCCGGUGAUCUAGCCAUGGGCAGGUUGAAGGUUGGGUAACACUAACUGGAGGACCGAACCGACUAAUGUUGAAAAAUUAGCGGAUGACUUGUGGCUGGGGGUGAAAGGCCAAUCAAACCGGGAGAUAGCUGGUUCUCCCCGAAAGCUAUUUAGGUAGCGCCUCGUGAACUCAUCUUCGGGGGUAGAGCACUGUUUCGGCUAGGGGGUCAUCCCGACUUACCAACCCGAUGCAAACUACGAAUACCGAAGAAUGUUAUCACGGGAGACACACGGCGGGUGCUAACGUCCGUCGUGAAGAGGGAAACAACCCAGACCGCCAGCUAAGGUCCCAAAGUCAUGGUUAAGUGGGAAACGAUGUGGGAAGGCACAGACAGCCAGGAUGUUGGCUUAGAAGCAGCCAUCAUUUAAAGAAAGCGUAAUAGCUCACUGGUCGAGUCGGCCUGCGCGGAAGAUGUAACGGGGCUAAACCAUGCACCGAAGCUGCGGCAGCGACACUAUGUGUUGUUGGGUAGGGGAGCGUUCUGUAAGCCUGCGAAGGUGACCUGUGAGGGUUGCUGGAGGUAUCAGAAGUGCGAAUGCUGACAUAAGUAACGAUAAAGCGGGUGAAAAGCCCGCUCGCCGGAAGACCAAGGGUUCCUGUCCAACGUUAAUCGGGGCAGGGUGAGUCGACCCCUAAGGCGAGGCCGAAAGGCGUAGUCGAUGGGAAACAGGUUAAUAUUCCUGUACUUGGUGUUACUGCGAAGGGGGGACGGAGAAGGCUAUGUUAGCCGGGCGACGGUUGUCCCGGUUUAAGCAUGUAGGCUGGUUGUCCAGGCAAAUCCGGAUAAUCAAGGCUGAGGUGUGAUGACGAGGCACUACGGUGCUGAAGUAACAAAUGCCCUGCUUCCAGGAAAAGCCUCUAAGCAUCAGGUAACAUUAAAUCGUACCCCAAACCGACACAGGUGGUCAGGUAGAGAAUACCAAGGCGCUUGAGAGAACUCGGGUGAAGGAACUAGGCAAAAUGGUGCCGUAACUUCGGGAGAAGGCACGCUGGUGUGUAGGUGAAGUCCCUGCGGAUGGAGCUGAGACCAGUCGAAGAUACCAGCUGGCUGCAACUGUUUAUUAAAAACACAGCACUGUGCAAACACGAAAGUGGACGUAUACGGUGUGACGCCUGCCCGGUGCCGGAAGGUUAAUUGAUGGGGUUAUCCGUAAGGAGAAGCUCUUGAUCGAAGCCCCGGUAAACGGCGGCCGUAACUAUAACGGUCCUAAGGUAGCGAAAUUCCUUGUCGGGUAAGUUCCGACCUGCACGAAUGGCGUAAUGAUGGCCAGGCUGUCUCCACCCGAGACUCAGUGAAAUUGAACUCGCUGUGAAGAUGCAGUGUACCCGCGGCAAGACGGAAAGACCCCGUGAACCUUUACUAUAGCUUGACACUGAACAUUGAGCCUUGAUGUGUAGGAUAGGUGGGAGGCUUUGAAGCGUGGACGCCAGUCUGCGUGGAGCCAACCUUGAAAUACCACCCUUUAAUGUUUGAUGUUCUAACGUUGGCCCCUUACCGGGGUUGCGGACAGUGUCUGGUGGGUAGUUUGACUGGGGCGGUCUCCUCCCAAAGCGUAACGGAGGAGCACGAAGGUUAGCUAAUCCUGGUCGGACAUCAGGAGGUUAGUGCAAUGGCAUAAGCUAGCUUGACUGCGAGCGUGACGGCGCGAGCAGGUGCGAAAGCAGGUCAUAGUGAUCCGGUGGUUCUGAAUGGAAGGGCCAUCGCUCAACGGAUAAAAGGUACUCCGGGGAUAACAGGCUGAUACCGCCCAAGAGUUCAUAUCGACGGCGGUGUUUGGCACCUCGAUGUCGGCUCAUCACAUCCUGGGGCUGAAGUAGGUCCCAAGGGUAUGGCUGUUCGCCAUUUAAAGUGGUACGCGAGCUGGGUUUAGAACGUCGUGAGACAGUUCGGUCCCUAUCUGCCGUGGGCGCUGGAGAAUUGAGGGGGGCUGCUCCUAGUACGAGAGGACCGGAGUGGACGCAUCACUGGUGUUCGGGUUGUCAUGCCAAUGGCACUGCCCGGUAGCUAAAUGCGGAAGAGAUAAGUGCUGAAAGCAUCUAAGCACGAAACUUGCCCCGAGAUGAGUUCUCCCUGAGACUUUAAGUCUCCUGAAGGAACGUUAAAGACGAUGACGUUGAUAGGCCGGGUGUGUAAGCGCAGCGAUGCGUUGAGCUAACCGGUACUAAUGAACCGUGAGGCUUAACCUUACAACGCCGAAG